rnacentral:rRNA from 1 species
AUGAACAAUAUGAACGGGUACUACACAAGUACAGACAGAUCAUCUAGUUCAACACGGCAACAUAUGAAUGUUCUUCAAUCUCAAAUUAUACCAAGGAGUUUAACACACUACCAUGCUUGGAAACUACUAGCAUACUACAAGUUCAUCACCACUAGCUACCAAUCCUUGCUGGCAUGGAAACAACUCCUAGCAUGCUACAAAUUCAUCACACCUAGCUACCAGAACAUGACAUUCUCAUUUGAUAGUGUACAAUGCUACAACAUGGUCACAACCUAUCACAUGCUCACAGAUCUAGCUAGAACGAGUGGUUUAACUUCCAUGCCAUACAGACCACAAGGUGAACGCAGGCAACGGCCUAAUUUCGCCCCGCGCGGGCCAGGUUGGGCUCCAAGCAUGCAACCAAACGCGUCCCAGAUGGCCGACGACGCAAGCACAUCGCACGGACUCAAAACGCAGCGCACGAAAGCACACACGCACGCAAGCUACAAGCAUGGCUGCCACCAUGAAGCUGUCACUCGCCUUCGUCCUCCUCCUCUCAGUCUCAGGGCUGGUGGUGUUCGGGGACGCCGGGGCGACCUGCGACACCAUCCGCUGCAUCCAGGGAGGGAACAUCACCGCAGGGAUGUGAUCCAGGGGUGUCACUGCGUGUGCGCGCCCAAGAACGGCAAGGGCUGCGUGCUCCUCCUCCACGACGGCUCCACCUACAACUGCCCCACUACCAAGUGCUGA